CAUGUGGGAAUCUACCCAUACAUAAAGGUAAAUCCUUUUUAAAGAGAUCUGUGAUCGUGUAUGGAUGAGCCCGCCACAAGAUUAGAUAGUUGGUGUGGGAAGGGCGCACCAAGUCGAGGAUCUUUAGUCUGAUCUUAGCGGAUGAUCAGCCACACUGGGACGUGAGACACGGCCCAGGCUCCCAUGGGAGACAGCAGUGAGGAAUCUUGGACAAUGCACGAAAGUGUGAUCCAGCUAUAUCGCGUGGACGAAGAAGGGUAUUUUGCUUGUAAAGUCCUUUCAGCAAUAAACAUGUUUUUA
rnacentral:rRNA from 1 species